UAAUACGUAGGGGGCAAGCGUUGUCCGGAUUUACUGGGUGUAAAGGGUGCUCAGGCGGGUUUGUAAGUCAGUGGUGAAAUCCCGGGGCUUAACUCCGGAACUGCCAUAGAAACUGCAAGCCUAGAGUACGGAAGAGGUUGAUGGAAUAUCUGGUGUAGCAGUGAAAUGCGUAGAUAUCAGAUAGAACACCAAUGGCGAAGGCAGUCAACUGGUCCGUUACUGACGCUAAAGCACGAAAGUGUGGGGAGCGAACAGG
rnacentral:rRNA from 1 species